rnacentral:rRNA from 1 species
ACACAUGCAAGUCGAGCGAAGCACUUUGCUUAGAUUCUUCGGAUGAAGAGGAUUGUGACUGAGCGGCGGACGGGUGAGUAACGCGUGGGUAACCUGCCUCAUACAGGGGGAUAACAGUUAGAAAUGACUGCUAAUACCGCAUAAGACCACAGCACCGCAUGGUGCGGGGGUAAAAACUCCGGUGGUAUGAGAUGGACCCGCGUCUGAUUAGCUAGUUGGUAAGGUAACGGCUUACCAAGGCGACGAUCAGUAGCCGACCUGAGAGGGUGACCGGCCACAUUGGGACUGAGACACGGCCCAAACUCCUACGGGAGGCAGCAGUGGGGAAUAUUGCACAAUGGGGGAAACCCUGAUGCAGCGACGCCGCGUGAGCGAAGAAGUAUUUCGGUAUGUAAAGCUCUAUCAGCAGGGAAGAAAAUGACGGUACCUGACUAAGAAGCACCGGCUAAAUACGUGCCAGCAGCCGCGGUAAUACGUAUGGUGCAAGCGUUAUCCGGAUUUACUGGGUGUAAAGGGAGCGUAGACGGAUGGGCAAGUCUGAUGUGAAAACUCGGGGCUCAACCCCGGGACUGCAUUGGAAACUGUUCAUCUAGAGUGCUGGAGAGGUAAGUGGAAUUCCUAGUGUAGCGGUGAAAUGCGUAGAUAUUAGGAGGAACACCAGUGGCGAAGGCGGCUUACUGGACAGUAACUGACGUUGAGG